GAUGAACGCUGGCGGCGUGCUUAACACAUGCAAGUCGAACGGACCCUGUCUUUCGGGAUUGGGUUAGUGGCGGACGGGUGCGUAACACGUGGGUGACCUGCCCCAAAGUGGGGAAUAACUAUUCUAACGGAUAGCUAAUACCGCAUAUGUUCGGUGAUUCGUUUCGCCGAGUAAAGCUUUGGCGCUUUGGGAUGGGCCUGCGGCGGAUUAGGUAGUUGGUGGGGUAAUGGCCUACCAAGCCGAUGAUCCGUAGGGGGCGUGAGAGCGUGGCCCCCCACACUGGCACUGAGAUACGGGCCAGACUCCUACGGGUGGCAG
rnacentral:rRNA from 1 species